rnacentral:rRNA from 1 species
GACGAACGCUGGCGGCGUGCUUAACACAUGCAAGUCGAACGGAAAGGCCCUGCUUUUGUGGGGUGCUCGAGUGGCGAACGGGUGAGUAACACGUGAGUAACCUGCCCUUGACUUUGGGAUAACUUCAGGAAACUGGGGCUAAUACCAGAUAGGAGCUCCUGCUGCAUGGUGGGGGUUGGAAAGUUUCGGCGGUUGGGGAUGGACUCGCGGCUUAUCAGCUUGUUGGUGGGGUAGUGGCUUACCAAGGCUUUGACGGGUAGCCGGCCUGAGAGGGUGACCGGCCACAUUGGGACUGAGAUACGGCCCAGACUCCUACGGGAGGCAGCAGUGGGGAAUAUUGCACAAUGGGCGGAAGCCUGAUGCAGCAACGCCGCGUGCGGGAUGACGGCCUUCAGGUUGUAAACCGCUUUCGCCUGUGACGAAGCGUGAGUGACGGUAAUGGGUAAAGAAGCACCGGCUAACUACGUG